UACGUAGGGCGCAAGCGUUGUCCGGAAUUAUUGGGCGUAAAGAGCUCGUAGGCGGCCUGUCGCGUCCGCUGUGAAAGCCCGGGGCUUAACCCCGGGUCGGCAGUGGAUACGGGCAGGCUAGAGGUAGGUAGGGGAGAAUGGAAUUCCCGGUGUAGCGGUGAAAUGCGCAGAUAUCGGGAGGAACACCGGUGGCGAAGGCGGUUCUCUGGGCCUUACCUGACGCUGAGGAGCGAAAGCGUGGGGAGCGAACAGG
rnacentral:rRNA from 1 species